UAAAUGAGAGUUUGAUCCUGGCUCANNCGGCGUGCCUAAUACAUGCAAGUUGAACGCUUGAUUUUCACCGAAGCUUGCUUCACCGAAAAUCAAGAGUAGCGAACGGGUGAGUAACGCGUGGGUAACCUACCUAUCAGCGGGGGAUAACUAUUGGAAACNNAUAGCUAAUACCGCAUAACAAUGUUGGAUGCAUAUUCGACAUUUGAAAGUACCAAAUGGUACACUGAGAGAUGGACCCGCGUUGUAUUAGCUAGUUGGUAGUGUAAUGGACUACCAAGGCGAUGAUACAUAGCCGACCUGAGAGGG
rnacentral:rRNA from 1 species